UGGGGAAUAUUGGACAAUGGGCGAAAGCCUGAUCCAGCCAUGCCGCGUGGGUGAAGAAGGUCUUCGGAUUGUAAAGCACUUUAAGUUGGGAGGAAGGGCAGUAAGCGAAUACCUUGCUGUUUUGACGUUACCGACAGAAUAAGCACCGGCUAACUCUGUGCCAGCAGCCGCGGUAAUACAGAGGGUGCAAGCGUUAAUCGGAAUUACUGGGCGUAAAGCGCGCGUAGGUGGUUCGUUAAGUUGAAUGUGAAAGCCCCGGGCUCAACCUGGGAAAUGCAUCCACAACUGGCGAGCUAGAGUAGGGCAGAGGGUGGUGGAAUUUCCUGUGUAGCGGUGAAAUGCGUAGAUAUAGGAAGGAACACCCGUGGCGAAGGCGACCACCUGGGCUCAUACUGACACUGAGGUGCGAAAGCGUGGGGAGCAAACAGG
rnacentral:rRNA from 1 species